ACAUCGACAGGGAACUGCCAGAAAUUCAGGUUGGUUUCAGAAGAGGAGGUGGAAUCAGGGAUAUCAUUGCUGAUAUCAGAUGGAUCCUGGCUGAAAGCAGAGAAUACCAGAAGGAUGUUUACCUGUGUUUUAUUGACUAUGAAAAGGCAUUCGACUGUGUGGAUCAUAACAAACUAUGGAUAACACUGCAAAGAAUGGGAAUUUCAGAACACUUAAUUGUGCUCAUAAGGAACCUUUACAUAGAUCAAGAGGCAGUUGUUCAGACAGAACAAGGGGAUACUGAUUGGCUUAAAGUCAGGAAAGGUGUGCGUCAGGGUUGUAUUCUUUCACGAUACCUAUUUAAUCUGUAUGCUGAACAAAUAAUCCGAGAAGCUGGACUAUUAUGAAGAAGAACAAGGCAUCAGGAUUGGAGGAAGACUCAUUAACAACCUGCGUUAUGCAGAUGACACAACCUUGCUUGCUGAAAGUGAAGAGGACUUAAAGCACUUACGAAUGAAGAUCAAAGACCACAGCCUUCAGUAUGGAUUGCACCUCAAUAUAAAGAAAACAAAAAUCCUUACAACUGGACCAAUAAGCAACAUCAUGAUAAACGGAGAAAAGACUGAAGUUGUCAAGGAUUUCAUUUUACUUGGAUCCACAAUCAACACCCGUGGAAGCAGCAGUCAUGAAAUCAAAAGAUGCAUUGCAUUGGGUAAAUCUGCUGCAAAGGACCUCUUCAAAGUGUUGAAGAGCAAAGAUGUCACCCUGAAGACUAAGGUGGGCCUGACUCAGGCCAUGGUAUUUUCAAUCGCAUCAUAUGCAUGUGAAAGCUGGACAGUGAAUACAGAAGACAGAAGAAGAGCUGACGCCUUUGAAUUGUGGUGGUGGCAAAGAAUAUUGAAUAUACCAUGGACUGCCAAAAGAGCGAACAAAUCUGUCUUGGAGGAAGUGCGGUCAGAAUGCUCCUUAGAGGCAAGGAUGGCGAGGCUGCGUCUUACAUACUUUGGACAUGUUGUCAGCAGGGAUCAGUCCCUGGAGAAGGACAUCAUGCUUGGCAGAGUACAGGGUCAGCAGAAAAGAGGAAGACCCUCAACAAGGUGGACUGACACAGUGGCUGCAACAAUGAGCUCAAGCAUAACGAUUGUAAGGAUGGCACAGGACUGGGCUGUGUUUCGUUCUGUUGUGCAUAGGGUCGCUAUGAGUCGGAACUGACUUGAUGGCACCUAAUAACAACAUAUUAGAAAGUGAUAUGUUCUAUGGAAAGAAAUUACAAAGGAAAACAGACUGGCAGUAGGGUGAGGCUGCGAUAUUAAAUAGUGUGAUCAAAAAAGGUCUCACUGAGAAGUUGAAAUAUGGGUUAAGACAUGAAGGAAGGAGAAAGUCAUUACCUAAGAGAAGAUAACUUGAGGCAUAAGAAUGGUUGAUGGAAAAUAAGAAAUAUGGCUGCUACAUUUCAACAAUCUGUAGGAGGCCGGUGCAGCUGGAGCAGGGUAAGCAAGCGGAAGAGGAGUAAGAACUGAGGUCAGAGAGGUAAAUGGGGAACAUAGGUAAAAACUGGAAGAAACAUAAAUAUGCAGCAGGAGACUGGCUACAUAUAUCCUGGGGCACCUAUAUAAUAAGACACUUUAUUACUAAGAAUAGCUUAGAACUAAAUGUAUUGAUAUUAAAAGAUCUGCAUAGACAGGGUCAGCACUGUGCAUAUUCUAUGAUCCAAUCUGUGUACAUUAGUACAUGCUCUUUAUGUCAGAAAAACACCUUCCAAAAGGAUACAUACGAAACUGUUAAUAAUGGCAGCCUUUACAUAGAAGAGUCAGUGGUGGAGUGGAGAAUAACAGAGGCUUUUACUUUCCAUUUUAUACUUUUAUGCACUUAUGAGUCUUCUGCUUUUUGUAAACGAUCUGUAUAUAUACAACUUUAUUUUAAAAAGAAAAGAAAAAAGCAAUUUGUGUAUCUUCGGCAUGAUCUCUUUUCAGUCAAACCUCACAAGCAGUUGAUGCAAGAGUUUUGCCUUUUGCCCUCUGGAUGCCAUCUCAGCAUCCCGAAAUGAAUUUUGCAAGUGUUCCAUUUCCUAACUUCCUUUCUGAAAGCAAUGAUUUUACUAAGCCUUGACAAUUUCACUAAAAAAAAAAAAAACCCAGUUACUCAAUUUCAGCUUCCUGGCUACUUAGUAACUACAUCAAUCUUAGCACUUUAAUUCCCAUGUCUUCUCCAAACUGAUUACUAUACCAACAGCAAACUUACUUGUAUGAAUGUAUUCACUCAGGCCUCUGCUCUGCAGAUAAACUAUGUCACUACCCACCUGUCAGUGUGUCAUACUGUGGUUGCUUGAGUUUUGCUAUGAUGCUGGAAGCUACGCCACUGGCAUUUCGAAUACCAGAAAGGUCAGCCAUGGUGGACAGGUUCAGCAGAGCUUCCCGACUAAGGUAAACUAGGAGGAAAAUCCUGGCGAUCUACUUCUAAAAAUUAGCCAAUGAAAAUCCUGUGGAUCACUACAGAGUAUUGUCAGAUAAAGUGCUGGAAGAUGAGCUUCUUAGGUUGGAACACAAGCAAAAAAAAAAAAAAAAAACAGCGGUUACAACAACAGACUCGAGCAUACCAACGAUCAUGAAGGUAGUACAGGGACUGGGCAAUAUUUUGUUCUGUAGUACAUGCUCCUCCCACAUGAAAACUUCUUGAAUUCAUUUCUGACAUUUUAAUUGCUCAGAAUUUCCAACAUAAUUUACCCUGUAUUAACCAUAUGCACAUAUCAGUUCUGUUUCUCCAUUAAGCAUGCACUCUCUUUGAGAACAGGGGCCAAGUUUUUCCUUUCUUUAGUAUCUUCCCAAUAUGAUGCUCCCCACACAACAGGUGUGCCAUCUGUGUUGCUGCAUUAGUUCAUUUAUUUAUUAAUUCAUAUUGCUUAAAAAGUAAUUUUAUAAAAACAGAAUGAAUGAUGCAAUCUAGAACGGUCAUAUAAAUAGCCUCGAAACCUCUGCAGUGAGUUCUGUGGAUUUACCUGCUCGUCUUCCAUUCUACCUUUUUUCUAGGAUGACUUUUUACUACUGCAGAAGCUACAAAGCCUUGUUUGUAAAAUUAUUGAGGUAUCUGGAAGAUGAAAAUGAGUCAAACUAUAACUUCUUGACUCAUUUCACUUCCCCCCGCCUUUUUUUUUGCCAAAAAGCAAUGCUAUGGAGAACGAGAGGUUUUUUUUGUAGCAGAUUCCUGUGCCCAUUCUUCAGCUUUCUGGGUACCAAGGGACAGUUGUGAUAGAGGUAGUGGCCAGAAUACACGUUCCCAUGCCCAUAUAACAAUUUAGAGGCUGUGAUGGAGGCUACAGGAGCUGCCUGGCAACUGGACUGCAGUAAUGAUAGUAGCUCCUUGUGUUCUAAUGGCAACCUGAGGUGGAUCAUUUCUUGAGGCCCAAUCUAGAGCCCACUCCAGGUUUUCCCAUGAUUUUAUGAGCCCUGAUUCCCAUGCAUAUUAGUUUCUUAUGGCUUCUGUAACAAAUUACCACAAACCUGGUAGGUUAAAAACAAUAGAAAUUUAUUCUCCUACCGUUCUGGAGGCCAGAAAUCCAAAAUGAGUCAUAAGGGCUCAGUCAAGGGAUUAAAAUCAAGGUGCUGGCAGGGCCAAGCUCCUUCCAGAGGUUCUGACCUUGCCUCUUCCAUAGUCUAGAGUUGUCUGACUUGCAUUCCUUGGCUCAUGUGUCCUUCUUCCAUGUUCAAAGCCAGUGGUUUAGCAUCUUCUCACUCUGACUCUACUUCUGUCACACGGCCUUUGUCUUAGUUGUCUAGUGCUACUAUAAGAGAAAUGCCACAAGUGGAUGGCUUUAACAAUCAGAAAUUUACUUUCUCACAGUUUAGGAGGCUAAAAGUCUGAAUUCAGAGCAUUGGCUCUAGGGGAAAGCUUUCUCAGUCUGCUAUGGAGGACGGGCCUUGUCUCUUUUGAGCUUCUGCUCCUUCGGUGAUCUUUAUGUGGCUUGGCAUCUCUCUUUUCCUAUCUCUGAUUCUUUCUCUUGUUUGUUUGAUCUCUUUUAUAUCUCAAAAGACAUACCCCUACAUUAAUCCUGCCAAAUGGGAUUAUAACCACAAGCACAGAGGUUAGGAUUUAUUACACAUAUUUUUGGGGGAUAUAAUUCAACGAAUAAUAGCCUUCUUUCUUCUGUUAUGAAAUCUCCUUCUAAUGUGUGAUUGUAUUUAGGGCUCACCUGGAUAAUCCAGGAUAAUCUCCUCAUCUCAAAGUACCUAAUUACUACUACUGCAAAGUCCAUUUUGCCAUGUAAGGUAACAUUCAUCACUAACAGGGAUUAAGAUCUAGAGAUCUUUGGAGACCAUUAUUCAGCCUAUCACACUCUGCCUCACACGUCUACAUGUCACCAUAUUCACAGGUUCUAGAGAUUAGGAUAAUGACAUUAUUGGGAGAGAGGUAUUAUUUUGCCUACUCCAGCAAGGUGUAGUGAUAAAUACGAAAACAUGAUAGAGAAAUAAUGAAAGUUAUAGUGCUGCCAGGAGGAUUUUUUCCUUUAUCACCUUCCCCAUAUCUGGUCCAUCCUUCCUAUUUAGCUCGGACUCCAGCUACUCACCAGUCAAGCCUCGACAAUGUUACCAACCAGACUUAAAGGAUUCCUGCUUCCCUGUCUUCUCUCAUCUUGCUCCUUUAGGUGAAAUGGCCUCCUUCCUCCUGCUUUACAGCUUAAAACCUCCUCCAUUAUUUCAGUGCCCGAGAGAAAUCCUUCCUGCUCUCUAAAAUCUUCCUCAUCACUUCAGCUGCAAGAGAUUUUUGCUGUCCUAAAGAAUUGCCUCACCUCUGUAAGAUUUGCCUUUAGCUCUGCAAUAUUUAUGAUCGUGUGCAGUUAUCUUUACAUCUGUUCAGAUCUAUCAUCCCCAGCAGGAAUGUGAGCUCCCAUAGAUCGGGUACUCUGUUUUGUAUGCACAGAUAGCUAAUUAUUUUUCAUCUCUAAAUAUAACAAAAGAAAAUACCACUAAACUUAAAGAAAUAUUUAGAAUAUGUCUAUUUUUUCUCUAAACUUUCUAUAUCACGAAAAUUCGUUUUGAAAUUCUUAGUAAUUUGCUGUACUUUCGCAUUAUACUUGACAAGUCACUGGUUGCAGAGAGAUGACAGCAGACGUUUUAAGAAAAAUAAAUAUUUUUUUCUAAACAAUGCAUUUGCUGAAGACCCCCCCCAAAUUUCUUCCUGUUCAAAUAAAAACAAAACAAAACUAACAAGCAAAAAAACCAAACCCAUUGCCACUGAGUCAAUUCCAACCCAUAGCGGACCUACAGCAUAGAGUAGGACUGUCCCAUAGGGUUUCUAAGGAGCGACUGGCGACCUUUUGGUUAGCAGCUGAGCUCUUAACAACUGCACCAUGGACCCUCAAUAUGAAAAUCACAUUCCUACAAAUAUUAAUAAAAGUGGUUUAAUGAAACCUACUGACAAAUUCAGUUUUGAUACUUCAAUGUUUGGUAAAUUAAUAUGAUUGCCAUGAAUAAAAAAUUGCAGAGUACAUUUUCCAUGGAUAAUAUUCUCUAAAGCUUUGCUCCUUGCUAUGCCAUAAAUAAGAUGGUUCUCUUAUAAUGAAUUCCUAUCCACAGAACUAUGGAAAACACAAAUUUGGGUAUUUGGAUAUGUUAGAUAAUGGAAAUGGUUAAGAAUUAAGACUAAAUUGGGAAAAAAAAGGUAAUGAUUAUGCAAUCUAAAUUUUAAUGAGUGACUUAUGGAUUAUACUAGGAGUAAAGGCUGCUUUCAGAUGUUUAUUAAAAAAACACAACUAAGAUUUUAUUUGUCCUUAUUUUAAGUUUAGGAGAUAUAUACUUUUCUAUUAGAUAAUCAUCUAUUAGAUAAAGAACACAUCAAAUAUUACAAGUACUUAUAUUUUCUUAUAAUGUAAAGCGUUAGUAUUUUAAAAGGGUGCACUUGAAUUAAGAAAAAAUGUUCAAACACAUGGAAGAUUUUUGCAUUGGCUCCUCUAAGGACACCAGGAAUCCAUUUAUUUAUUAUUCUAGAUUUCUAUUUUCUCCAAUGGUUAAAAAUCGCCUGUUUCUAUAAUGUGGUAGUAACAUUCUCGCAUUUUUUUUCAUUCAAACAUCCCAUAUCAUGUACUACUAUUUCCAUCCAACCAUUCAUUUAUCCAGAUACCAAUGCUUCUAUCCAUUCACCUAACCAGUACUGAAUACAGCACAAAUAUUUCAGAACUGCUGGGGGAAGGACCAUAGGUAGAAAUAUCACCUAUUCUCUAUAACUCUUCUCCCUGCAAACCCCAAACAACUGGCAGAAACCAUGUAUAACUACUUUCUAGAACAAAUGACUAAACAUUACCAGUUUGAAUUAAAGAAAUUAAAAAUCUGCUUAGAAUUCUCUGAGUAAUUCUAGAAUUCUUUUAUUAGCAAGAAAGUCUGUUGGUUUGAAAUAGUCUGAGAAAAAAGCCUUGUAUCUCCUUUUCAAUAUUUGGCCAGGGUGAGGAUAUAAUUUGUAACAGGCGAGAGGGCAUGAAGUUAAGAGGGUUCUCCCUCUGGUAUAGCAAAGGCCUGGAAUCCCAGAUAUAAGCAACCAUGAUUACUUAUUCCCACCAAAACACGGUAUGAUGAAAGGGCUAAACACUGAAAUAUUUUAGAGAGUUACAAAAUCUCCCUUCUGCGUUUUUUUUUUUUUAACUCCUUUCCUUCUGCUCUCUGUUCUGUAUUCUGUGCCUCAUGAAAGCAGACAUGAAACCACAAAGAGGUGAGUCAGGGUUUCCAGCCUCUCUAACGUGGGCACUGCACUGAGGCACUUCAGUGAUGUAGAUUUCUGUUGCCUAAUCAGUCCUUUAAGGAGCCCUCAUGGUGCAAUGUUUAAGCUCUCAUCUGCUAACUGAAAGGUUGGGGGGUUGAACCCACCAACCUCUCUGUGGGAGAAAAGACCUAGCAAUUUGCUCCCAUAUAUAUAUAUUUAAAUUAUAGCUUAGGAAGCCCUAUGGGCCAGUUCUACUCUGUUUUAUGGCGUCACUAUAAGAAGGAAUUGACUCGAUGGUGGCACAGAACAAUAACAACAAUCAGUCCUUUCUUGGGAGUCAGGGCAGGGAUGCUGCUGCUGUGGUUGUGCUCACAUCACCCACUCUACAGCAAUGCCAUACAAAUUUAUUGCUUACUUAAUCUGCAAAUCCUAAACCAUGCAAAGUAUUAAACAACAGUGGUUGAGAAUUGCGUUACUCUAUUUCCAUGGUACUUGCACUCCCUUUUGAUUAUAAAAUUGUCCAUGUUACCAUAAAACCUUGAUCAUUUGGCACUUAAAAGGACAAUUUUAUGAGAAGAGUCUACAAUCUUAAGAGAUUUACCUCAUGGAUCGAAUGUUUAUUUCAGGAAGUUUGGCCUUGCUUUAAAACAUGACUAGAAAAUCUAACAUGGGAAUUUAGUAAUGACCUAUGAUUUCAGGUACUGAAAUGUUUCUCUUUUCAUGUUUGAAAAAGAUGAGUACAAAGAAGUGACUAAUUAGUCCUGAGUACACUGCAAUGUGAUGACAAAUUCUAUGGUUUCUAAUAACUACUCAUUUUACCACUUCUUGAUCCUCAUGAAUAUUUAUACAAAGAUAUACAUAAGCACUGAUUAUGCAUCAGCCCAUAUAGGUAUAAUAACAACACUUGAUGGCUCACAUGGUUUCUGCUCACUGAGAAUUUGCAAUCUUCAAUAAAAAAAAAUCACUAGAAUGUUCAAGGAUAAAAUUGCUAUGGUUAACAGUUUUUUUUUUAUGAAUAACUAAUGAAAAAGAUGUUGAAAACUUAAGCAAAAUAUAUCCUUAUAGUUUUCUGAUACAAUAAAUAGGGGCUUCAAAUAAAAAUUUAACAUCUUCAGAUAAUCAUCCUGAAGAUCAGCACUGUGCUGUGAUUACGAAGAGAUUACAGAAGUCCCCCUCUUAUCCAUGGUUUCACUUGCUACUAUUUCACUUACCCGCAGUCAACCACGAUCAGAAAAUGUUAAACGGGCAGCAUGAUGAAAUCGUGUGCUGUCCCUUUCCAUCCUUCCCUGGACGUGAAUCAUUCCUUUGUCCGGCAUAUCCACUCUCAAUAAUUGUCUCAGUCAUCAGAUUGCCUAUUUGGGUAUCACAGUGCUUGUGUUCAAGUCACCCUAAUUUUACUUAGUAAUGUCCCCAGAGUGCAAGAAUAGUAAUGCUGGCAAUUUGGAUAUGCCAAAGAGAAGCCGCAAAGUGCUUCCUUUAAGUGAAAAGGUGAAGUUCUUGACAUCACCACAAAAAGAAGGCUGAUGCUCCUGAGAGGCCAUUUUAGGUUCUGUUCCGAGAUUUUUUUGGAUCCGCUGUCUCCUUUUUCUACUUGGUGCAAUAUCAGCCAUAUCAGCACUUGAAAAAAUGGAAUCAUCUUUUCUUAAAGUGGCUAUAAAAAAAAAAAAUAUAAAAGGGGGAAGCAAGCAGACAAAAAUGGAGGACCUCACACCACCAAGAAAGCAGUGCCAGGAGCAGAGCACAUCCUUGGACCUGCGGUUCCGGCAUAGAGAAGCUCCUAGACCAGGUGAAGAUUGAUGACAAAGAUGUUCCUCCAGAGACAAAAGAGAAGAAAGCCUUCCCCUGAAGCUGGCAUCCUGAAUUUGGGCUUCUAGCCUCCUAAACUGUGAGAGAAUAAAUUUCUCUUUGUUAAAAGCAUCCAUUUGUGGUAUUUCUGUUAUAGCAGCACUAGAUAAUUAAGACAUUUGCCUUAUUCUUUUUCCAUAAGCUCUAUACUGAUAGUGUCACUAUCUUGUAUUUAUAUUGUACCUAAUAACUGGAACUUUAAAAAUUAAUAUGAAAGAAAAAUAUAAUUUUUCUUGACUGCCCUAUAAGGAAUAAAAUGACCAAAAUAUUGCUUCUUUUA